UACGUAGGGCGCAAGCGUUAUCCGGAAUUAUUGGGCGUAAAGAGCUCGUAGGCGGUUUGUCGCGUCUGCCGUGAAAGUCCGGGGCUCAACUCCGGAUCUGCGGUGGGUACGGGCAGACUAGAGUGAUGUAGGGGAGACUGGAAUUGCUGGUGUAGCGGUGAAAUGCGUAGAGAUCAGCAGGAACACCCGUGGCGAAGGCGGCCCCCUGGGCCGUACCUGACGCUGAGGCGCGAAGGCUAGGGGAGCGAACGGG
rnacentral:rRNA from 1 species